AUUCUCGAACUCCGAACGGGCAAGGAGCCGGGGUCGCCCGAUCGGACCCCGGACGUGAAGUCGACGAUGGUCGGUGGGCUGGUUUUGGUAAGCAGAACGGGCGAUUCGGGAUGAACCGGAAGCGGGGAGAAAGGGCCCGAGAUUGCGUCGACGCGGAUCCCGAAAAGGGCGUCGAUCCGUCGCGACAGCGGGACGGUGGUCAUGGAAGUCGAAAUCCGCUAAGAAGCGUGUAAAAACGUACCCGCCCAACGGAUCGGCCCCGAAAAUUGAUGGCGCUCGAACGCAACCCUCGAACCCCGCCGACGGAGGCUAGGGGAGGCCCCGUCGAGUAGGCGGACGCGCGGGUCGCUUCGACGCUCUCGCGCGAGCGGGGGCGGAGCGGCCCGUGGUGCAGAUCUUGGUGGUAGUAGCGAUCACCCAGGCGAGAACCCUGA
rnacentral:rRNA from 1 species